rnacentral:tRNA from 1 species
UCCCUGGUAACUCAGAUGGUAAAGAAUCUGCCUGCAAUGCAGGAGACCUAGGUUCAAUCCCUGGGUUGGGAA